UACGUAGGGUGCGAGCGUUAAUCGGAAUUACUGGGCGUAAAGCGUGCGCAGGCGGCGCGUUAAGACAGGUGUGAAAGCCCCGAGCUCAACUUGGGAAUUGCGCUUGUGACUGGCGUGCUGGAGUGUGGCAGAGGGAGGUGGAAUUCCACGUGUAGCAGUGAAAUGCGUAGAGAUGUGGAGGAACACCGAUGGCGAAGGCAGCCUCCUGGGCCAGCACUGACGCUCAUGCACGAAAGCGUGGGGAGCAAACAGG
rnacentral:rRNA from 1 species